GAUGAACGCUGGCGGCGUGCCUAACACAUGCAAGUCGAGCGAAGCAUUUUAAAGGAAGUUUUCGGAUGGAAUUUGAAAUGACUGAGCGGCGGACGGGUGAGUAACGCGUGGGUAACCUGCCUCAUACAGGGGGAUAACAGUUAGAAAUGACUGCUAAUACCGCAUAAGCACACAGUACCGCAUGGUACGGUGUGAAAAACUCCGGUGGUAUGAGAUGGACCCGCGUCUGAUUAGCUGGUUGGCGGGGUAACGGCCCACCAAGGCGACGAUCAGUAGCCGACCUGAGAGGGUGACCGGCCACAUUGGGACUGAGACACGGCCCAAACUCCUACGGGAGGCAGCAGUGGGGAAUAUUGCACAAUGGGGGAAACCCUGAUGCAGCAACGCCGCGUGAGUGAAGAAGUAUUUCGGUAUGUAAAGCUCUAUCAGCAGGGAAGAAAGUGACG
rnacentral:rRNA from 1 species